AUGCUCACUUCAGCUGCACAUAUAUUAAAAUUGGAACAAUACAGAGAUUAACAUGGCCCCUGAGCAUGGAUAACACUAUUUUAAUUUAAAAAGUUUUU
rnacentral:snRNA from 1 species